UACGUAGGGUGCAAGCGUUGUCCGGAAUUAUUGGGCGUAAAGAGCUUGUAGGCGGUUUGUCGCGUCUGCGUGUGAAAUUUCGGGGCUCAACCCCGAACUUGCAGUGGGUACGGGCAGACUAGAGUGUGGUAGGGGAGACUGGAAUUCCUGGUGUAGCGGUGAAAUGCGCAGAUAUCAGGAGGAACACCGAUGGCGAAGGCAGGUCUCUGGGCCAAUAACUGACGCUGAGAAGCGAAAGCAUGGGGAGCGAACAGGA
rnacentral:rRNA from 1 species